UAUUGGGCAAUGGGCGCAAGCCUGACCCAGCAACGCCGCGUGAAGGAAGAAGGCUUUCGGGUUGUAAACCUCUGUCCUUGGUAAAGAAGCAAGACGGUAGCCAAGGAGGAAGCCACGGCUAACUACGUGCCAGCAGCCGCGGUAAUACGUAGGUGGCAGGCGUUGUCCGGAAUUACUGGGUGUAAAGGGAGCGUAGGCGGUUAUGCAAGUUGAAUGUGAAAUCUAUCGGCUCAACUGAUAGGCUGCGUUCAAAACUGUAUAUCUUGAGUGAAGUAGAGGCAGGCGGAAUUCCUAGUGUAGCGGUGAAAUGCGUAAAUAUUAGGAGGAACACCAGUGGCGAAGGCGGCCUGCUGGGCUUUAACUGACGCUGAGGCUCGAAAGCGUGGGUAGCAA
rnacentral:rRNA from 1 species